rnacentral:pre_miRNA from 1 species
UAUAAGGGAUUUUGAAUUUUUGCUUGCAACGUUUGAUCACUCGUCUUAUUCAAAAUUUUUUGAAAUUAUUAUUUAUUUUAUUUGUGACUUACUUUAUUAUCCACAGUACUUUAAGCACAAAUUUUCGUUUUUUAUAUUUGCAAAAAAAAUUUGAAUAAGACGAGUGGUCAAACGUUGCAAGUAAAAACUUAAAAUCCCUUAUA